UUCAGAUGCAAACGUCGUUUCAAGAUAUUAGAAGGUUCGCCGAUUGUCAACUCGAAUUAGAACAGAAAUUAAAGAUUUUAAAUUUCAUGAAGAGAUUUGGUAAACAAUCUUUAUGUUUGACUGUUAGAGAUUACUUCAAAGUGACCAAAAAGUUUCCCAUAAAAAUGGCAAGUUCUCUUCAUUCUAUCUUUUCUGGUCUUUUAAAUCUGAACAAUUCUUUAAACCAUUGAAAUUCAUGUUUGAGAAAAACUGAAUGUUUAAAUAAUGAAUUGUGUAAAUGUGCAUUAUUGUGAGAAGUCUGUCGGAAUUGUUAUCGUUUGAUUUACAGAAUAAUUAAUGCUUUAUUCUUGUAUUUUAUUAAUUUUAAUUAAGUAUUAUAGUA